rfam:Kiloniella sp. P1-1 contig3, whole genome shotgun sequence.
GAGAGGUUGGCUAUGGGCGUAGCGCUCGCCAACCCGGUCAGGUCCGGAAGGAAGCAGCCGUAACGAGUUAGCCGCGGGUCGUGGUUCAGCCUCUCACC